rnacentral:tRNA from 1 species
ACAGUGGUGGUUCAGUGGUAGAAUUCUUGCUUUCCAUGCAGGAGACUUGGGUUUGAUUCCCACCCAGUGUA